rnacentral:rRNA from 1 species
GUAGGUGGCAAGCGUUGUCCGGAAUUAUUGGGCGUAAAGCGCGCGCAGGCGGUUUUUUAAGUCUGAUGUGAAAGCCCACGGCUCAACCGUGGAGGGUCAUUGGAAACUGGAGAACUUGAGUGCAGAAGAGGAGAGCGGAAUUCCACGUGUAGCGGUGAAAUGCGUAGGGAUGUGGAGGAACACCAGUGGCGAAGGCGGCUCUCUGGUCUGUAACUGACGCUGAGGCGCGAAAGCGUGGGGAGCAAACAGGAUUAGAUACCCUGGUAGUCCACGCCGUAAACGAUGAGUGCUAAGUGUUAGAGGGUUUCCGCCCUUUAGUGCUGCAGCAAACGCAUUAAGCACUCCGCCCUGGGAGUACGGUCGCAAGACUG